UACGUAGGGGGCAAGCGUUAUCCGGAAUCACUGGGCGUAAAGGGUGCGUAGGCGGCUGAUCAAGCCAGGGGUGAAAGGCAAUAGCUUAACUAUUGUAAGCCUUUGGAACUGGUCAGCUUGAGUGCAGGAGAGGAAAGCGGAAUUCCUAGUGUAGCGGUGAAAUGCGUAGAUAUUAGGAGGAACACCCGUGGCGAAGGCGGCUUUCUGGACUGUAACUGACGCUGAGGCACGAAAGCGUGGGGAGCAAACAGGAUUAGAUACCCUGGUAGUCCACGCUGUAAACGAUGAAUACUAGGUGUCGGGGGUCAAAGCCCGGUGCCGCAGCUAACGCAUUAAGUAUUCCGCCUGGGGAGUACGGUCGCAAGACUGAA
rnacentral:rRNA from 1 species